rnacentral:rRNA from 1 species
GGUUAAGUGACUAAGCGUACACGGUGGAUGCCUUGGCAGUCAGAGGCGAUGAAAGACGUAGUAACUUGCGAUAAGCCCAGAUUAGGUAGUAACAACCAUUUGAGUCUGGGAUUUCUGAAUGGGGAAACCCACGUGCAUAAGCACGUAUCCUUACCUGAAUACAUAGGGUAAGGAGGCGAACCGGGGGAACUGAAACAUCUAAGUACCCCGAGGAAAAGAAAUCAACCGAGAUUCCGAAAGUAGCGGCGAGCGAAAUUGGACUAGCCCUUAAGCUUUACACGCGUUAGACGAACGGUCUGGAAAGUCCGACGAUACAGGGUGAUAGUCCCGUAGUUGACGACGUGUGUUCAGUGAAAUCGAGUAGGGCGGGACACGUGAUAUCCUGUCUGAAUAUGGGGGGACCAUCCUCCAAGGCUAAAUACUACUGACUGACCGAUAGUGAACCAGUACCGUGAGGGAAAGGCGAAAAGAACCCCUGUGAGGGGAGUGAAAUAGAACCUGAAACCGUGUACGUACAAGCAGUAGGAGCAGGCUUUGUCCUGUGACUGCGUACCUUUUGUAUAAUGGGUCAGCGACUUAUAUUCAGUGGCAAGGUUAACCAUCUAGGGGAGCCGUAGGGAAACCGAGUCUUAACUGGGCGUUCAGUCUCUGGAUAUAGACCCGAAACCAGGUGAUCUAGCCAUGGGCAGGUUGAAGGUUGAGUAACAUCAACUGGAGGACCGAACCGACUAAUGUUGAAAAAUUAGCGGAUGACUUGUGGCUAGGGGUGAAAGGCCAAUCAAACCUGGAGAUAGCUGGUUCUCCCCGAAAGCUAUUUAGGUAGCGCCUCGGACGAAUACUACUGGGGGUAGAGCACUGUUAAGGCUAGGGGGUCAUCCCGACUUACCAACCCUUUGCAAACUCCGAAUACCAGUAAGUACUAUCCGGGAGACACACGGCGGGUGCUAACGUCCGUCGUGGAGAGGGAAACAACCCAGACCGCCAGCUAAGGUCCCAAAUUACUACUAAGUGGGAAACGAUGUGGGAAGGCUCAGACAGCCAGGAUGUUGGCUUAGAAGCAGCCAUCAUUUAAAGAAAGCGUAAUAGCUCACUGGUCGAGUCGGCCUGCGCGGAAGAUGUAACGGGGCUAAGUAGUAAACCGAAGCUGCGGCAAUACUCUUUGAGUAUUGGGUAGGGGAGCGUUCUGUAAGCGGUUGAAGGUGUGUGGUAACACAUGCUGGACGUAUCAGAAGUGCGAAUGCUGACAUGAGUAACGAUAAAGGGGGUGAAAAACCUCCUCGCCGGAAGACCAAGGGUUCCUGUCCAACGUUAAUCGGGGCAGGGUAAGUCGACCCCUAAGGCGAGGCCGAAAGGCGUAGUCGAUGGGAAACGGGUUAAUAUUCCCGUACUUCUUACAAUUGCGAUGGGGGACGGAGAAGGCUAGGUGGGCCUGGCGACGGUUGUCCAGGUUCAAGUGCGUAGGCUUAAGAGUUAGGUAAAUCCGGCUCUUUUUAAGGCUGAGACACGACGUCGAGCACCUACGGGUGUGAAGUCAUUGAUGCCAUGCUUCCAGGAAAAGCCUCUAAGCUUCAGAUUGUAAGGAAUCGUACCCCAAACCGACACAGGUGGUCGGGUAGAGAAUACCAAGGCGCUUGAGAGAACUCGGGUGAAGGAACUAGGCAAAAUGGUACCGUAACUUCGGGAGAAGGUACGCUCUUGAUGGUGAAGUCCCUUGCGGAUGGAGCUGACGAGAGUCGCAGAUACCAGGUGGCUGCAACUGUUUUAUUAAAAACACAGCACUGUGCAAAAUCGUAAGAUGACGUAUACGGUGUGACCGCGCUGGCGUGCCGGAAGGUUAAUUGAAUGGGGUUAGACUUCGGUCGAAGCUCUUGAUCGAAGCCCCGGUAAACGGCGGCCGUAACUAUAAGGUCCUAAGGUAGCGAAUUCCUUGUCGGGUAAGUUCCGACCUGCACGAAUGGCGUAAUGAUAGCACACGGCUGUCUCCACCCGAGACUCAGUGAAAUUGAAAUCGCUGUGAAGAUGCAGUGUACCGCGGGCUAGACGGAAAGACCCCGUGAAGCCUUUACUACAGCUUGGCACUGAACAUUGACCCUACAUGGUAGGAUAGGUGGGAGGCUUCUGAAGCACGUACGCCAGUAUGUGUGGAGCCCGUCCUUGAAAUACCACCCUUGUAGUGUUGAUGUUCUAACGUCGACCCCUAAUCGGGGUUGCGGACAGUGCCUGGUGGGUAGUUUGACUGGGGCGGUCUCCUCCCAAAGAGUAACGGAGGAGCACGAAGGUGGGCUAAUCACGGUUGGACAUCGUGAGGUUAGUGCAAUGGCAUAAGCCCGCUUGACUGCGAGAAUGACAAUUCGAGCAGGUGCGAAAGCAGGUCAUAGUGAUCCGGUGGUUCUGAAUGGAAGGGCCAUCGCUCAACGGAUAAAAGGUACUCCGGGGAUAACAGGCUGAUACCGCCCAAGAGUUCAUAUCGACGGCGGUGUUUGGCACCUCGAUGUCGGCUCAUCACAUCCUGGGGCUGAAGUCGGUCCCAAGGGUAUGGCUGUUCGCCAUUUAAAGUGGUACGCGAGCUGGGUUUAGAACGUCGUGAGACAGUUCGGUCCCUAUCUGCCGUGGGCGUUGGAAGAUUGAAGGGGGCUGCUCCUAGUACGAGAGGACCGGAGUGGACGAACCUCUGGUGUUCGGGUUGUGUCGCCAGACGCAUUGCCCGGUAGCUAAGUUCGGAAUCGAUAACCGCUGAAAGCAUCUAAGCGGGAAGCGAACCGAGAUUCCGAAAGUAGCGGCGAGCGAAAUUGGACUCAGCCCUUAAGCUUUACACGCGUUAGACGAACGGUCUGGAAAGUCCGACGAUACAGGGUGAUAGUCCCGUAGUUGACGACGUGUGUUCAGUGAAAUCGAGUAGGGCGGGACACGUGAUAUCCUGUCUGAAUAUGGGGGGACCAUCCUCCAAGGCUAAAUACUACUGACUGACCGAUAGUGAACAGUACCGUGAGGGAAAGGCGAAAAGAACCCCUGUGAGGGGAGUGAAAUAGAACCUGAAACCGUGUACGUACAAGCAGUAGGAGCAGGCUUUGUCCUGUGACUGCGUACCUUUUGUAUAAUGGGUCAGCGACUUAUAUUCAGUGGCAAGGUUAACCAUCUAGGGGAGCCGUAGGGAAACCGAGUCUUAACUGGGCGUUCAGUCUCUGGAUAUAGACCCGAAACCAGGUGAUCUAGCCAUGGGCAGGUUGAAGGUUGAGUAACAUCAACUGGAGGACCGAACCGACUAAUGUUGAAAAAUUAGCGGAUGACUUGUGGCUAGGGUGAAAGGCCAAUCAAACCUGGAGAUAGCUGGUUCUCCCCGAAAGCUAUUUAGGUAGCGCCUCGGACGAAUACUACUGGGGGUAGAGCACUGUUAAGGCUAGGGGGUCAUCCCGACUUACCAACCCUUUGCAAACUCCGAAUACCAGUAAGUACUAUCCGGGAGACACACGGCGGGUGCUAACGUCCGUCGUGGAGAGGGAAACAACCCAGACCGCCAGCUAAGGUCCCAAAUUACUACUAAGUGGGAAACGAUGUGGGAAGGCUCAGACAGCCAGGAUGUUGGCUUAGAAGCAGCCAUCAUUUAAAGAAAGCGUAAUAGCUCACUGGUCGAGUCGGCCUGCGCGGAAGAUGUAACGGGGCUAAGUAGUAAACCGAAGCUGCGGCAAUACUCUUUGAGUAUUGGGUAGGGGAGCGUUCUGUAAGCGGUUGAAGGUGUGUGGUAACGCAUGCUGGACGUAUCAGAAGUGCGAAUGCUGACAUGAGUAACGAUAAAGGGGGUGAAAAACCUCCUCGCCGGAAGACCAAGGGUUCCUGUCCAACGUUAAUCGGGGCAGGGUAAGUCGACCCCUAAGGCGAGGCCGAAAGGCGUAGUCGAUGGGAAACGGGUUAAUAUUCCCGUACUUCUUACAAUUGCGAUGGGGGGACGGAGAAGGCUAGGUGGCCUGGCGACGGUUGUCCAGGUUCAAGUGCGUAGGCUUAAGAGUUAGGUAAAUCCGGCUCUUUUUAAGGCUGAGACACGACGUCGAGCACCUACGGGUGUGAAGUCAUUGAUGCCAUGCUUCCAGGAAAAGCCUCUAAGCUUCAGAUUGUAAGGAAUCGUACCCCAAACCGACACAGGUGGUCGGGUAGAGAAUACCAAGGCGCUUGAGAGAACUCGGGUGAAGGAACUAGGCAAAAUGGUACCGUAACUUCGGGAGAAGGUACGCUCUUGAUGGUGAAGUCCCUUGCGGAUGGAGCUGACGAGAGUCGCAGAUACCAGGUGGCUGCAACUGUUUAUUAAAAACACAGCACUGUGCAAAAUCGUAAGAUGACGUAUACGGUGUGACGCCUGCCCGGUGCCGGAAGGUUAAUUGAUGGGGUUAGACUUCGGUCGAAGCUCUUGAUCGAAGCCCCGGUAAACGGCGGCCGUAACUAUAACGGUCCUAAGGUAGCGAAAUUCCUUGUCGGGUAAGUUCCGACCUGCACGAAUGGCGUAAUGAUGGCCACGCUGUCUCCACCCGAGACUCAGUGAAAUUGAAAUCGCUGUGAAGAUGCAGUGUACCCGCGGCUAGACGGAAAGACCCCGUGAACCUUUACUACAGCUUGGCACUGAACAUUGACCCUACAUGUGUAGGAUAGGUGGGAGGCUUUGAAGCACGUACGCCAGUAUGUGUGGAGCCGUCCUUGAAAUACCACCCUUGUAGUGUUGAUGUUCUAACGUCGACCCCUAAUCGGGGUUGCGGACAGUGCCUGGUGGGUAGUUUGACUGGGGCGGUCUCCUCCCAAAGAGUAACGGAGGAGCACGAAGGUGGGCUAAUCACGGUUGGACAUCGUGAGGUUAGUGCAAUGGCAUAAGCCCGCUUGACUGCGAGAAUGACAAUUCGAGCAGGUGCGAAAGCAGGUCAUAGUGAUCCGGUGGUUCUGAAUGGAAGGGCCAUCGCUCAACGGAUAAAAGGUACUCCGGGGAUAACAGGCUGAUACCGCCCAAGAGUUCAUAUCGACGGCGGUGUUUGGCACCUCGAUGUCGGCUCAUCACAUCCUGGGGCUGAAGUCGGUCCCAAGGGUAUGGCUGUUCGCCAUUUAAAGUGGUACGCGAGCUGGGUUUAGAACGUCGUGAGACAGUUCGGUCCCUAUCUGCCGUGGGCGUUGGAAGAUUGAAGGGGGCUGCUCCUAGUACGAGAGGACCGGAGUGGACGAACCUCUGGUGUUCGGGUUGUGUCGCCAGACGCAUUGCCCGGUAGCUAAGUUCGGAAUCGAUAACCGCUGAAAGCAUCUAAGCGGGAAGCGAGCCCUGAGAUGAGUCUUCCCUGAUACUUUAAGUAUCCUAAAGGGUUGUCGGAGACUACGACGUUGAUAGGUCAGGUGUGUAAGUGCUGUGAGGCAUUGAGCUAACUGAUACUAAUUGCCCGUGAGGCUUAACCAU